UCCUUCCCCGAAUAGAGAAGGACCGGUCUUCGGUCAAGGGUAUAUGAGUAGCUGCGCUCCCCUGCUAGAACCUCCAAACAAGCUCUCAAGGUCUAUUCAUAAAUUUUUAAAGAAAUAACC
rnacentral:sRNA from 1 species